rnacentral:rRNA from 1 species
GACGAACGCUGGCGGCGUGCUUAACACAUGCAAGUCGAACGGAAAGGCCCUGCUUUUGUGGGGUGCUCGAGUGGCGAACGGGUGAGUAACACGUGAGUAACCUGCCCUUGACUUUGGGAUAACUUCAGGAAACUGGGGCUAAUACCGGAUAGGAGCUCCUGCUGCUUGGUGGGGGUUGGAAAGUUUCGGCGGUUGGGGAUGGACUCGCGGCUUAUCAGCUUGUUGGUGGGGUAGUGGCUUACCAAGGCUUUGACGGGUAGCCGGCCUGAGAGGGUGACCGGCCACAUUGGGACUGAGAUACGGCCCAGAGUCCUACGGGAGGCAGCAGUGGAGAAUAUUGCACAAUGGGCGGAAGCCUGAUGCAGCAACGCCGCGUGCGGGAUGACGGCCUUCGGGUUGUAAACCGCUUUCGCCUGUGACGAAGCGUGAGUGACGGUAAUGGGUAAAGAAGCACCGGCUAACUACGUG